GAAAUCUGGCACCUUCGGUGUCCGAGUUGUAAUUUGAAGAAGGUAACUUUGGAGUUGGGUCUUGUCUAUGUUCCUUGGAACAGGACGUCACAGAGGGUGAGAAUCCCGUGCGAUGAGAUGUCCAACUCUAUGUAAAGUGCUUUCGAAGAGUCGAGUUGUUUGGGAAUGCAGCUCUAAGUGGGUGGUAAAUUCCAUCUAAAGCUAAAUAUUGGCGAGAGACCGAUAGCGAACAAGUACAGUGAUGGAAAGAUGAAAAGAACUUUGAAAAGAGAGUGAAAAAGUACGUGAAAUUGUUGAAAGGGAAGGGUUUGAGAUCAGACUUGGUAUUUUGUAUGUCUUGCUUUCGGGUGGGGCCUCUGCAGUUUACUGGGCCAGCAUCGGUUUGGACGGUAGGAUAAUGACAUUGGAAUGUGGCACUACUUCGGUGGUGUGUUAUAGACUUUGUUGAUACUGCCUGUCUAGACCGAGGACUGCGUCUUUGACUAGGAUGCUGGCAUAAUGAUCCUAAACCGCC
rnacentral:rRNA from 1 species